UUUCCGGUUGAUCCUGCCGCCGGGCACCGCUAUUGGAGUUCGCUUAAGCCAUGCGAGUCGAGAGGGGUAAGCCCUCGGCGCACUGCUCAGUAACACGCGGACAAUCUGCCCUCGAGACGGGGAUAAUCCCGGGAAACUGGGGAUAAUACCCGAUAGGUCUGGGAUGAUGGAAGGCUCCCUGGCCAAAAUCUUCCGGGGCUCGAGGAUGGGUCUGCGGCCUAUCAGGUCGUAGGGGGUUUUACGGACCCCCUAGCCGAAGACGGGUACGGGCUUUGGGAGAAGUCGCCCGGAGAUGGAUUCUGAGACACGAAUCCAGGUCCUACGGGACGCAGCAGGCGCGAAACCUCCACAAUGUGGGCAACCACGAUGGGGGAACUCCAAGUGCUUACACUUUUGUGUAAGCUGUUCUCGAGCCUAAAAAGCUCGAGAAGUAAGGGCCGGGUAAGACGGGUGCCAGCCGCCGCGGUAAUACCCGCGGCCCGAGUGGUGCUCAUUAUUAUUGAGCCUAAAGCGUCCGUAGCUGGCCGGGCAAAUCUCCGGGUAAAUCGGGCCGCUCAACGGUCCGAAUUCCGGAGACACUGCUCGGCUUGGGAUCGGGAGAGGGUGAAGGUACUCCCGGGGUAGGGGUAAAAUCCUGUAAUCCUGGGGGGACCACCAGUGGCGAAGGCGUUCACCUAGAACGAAUCCGACAGUGAGGGACGAAGCCCUAGGGCGCAAACGGGAUUAGAUACCCCGGUAGUCUAGGGUGUAAACGCUGCAGACUUGGUGUUGGGGGUCCUGCGUGGGCUCCCAGUGCCGGGGCGAAGGUGUUGAGUCUGCCGCUUGGGGAGUACGGUCGCAAGACUGAAACUUAAAGGAAUUGGCGGGAGAGCACCGCAACGGGAGGAGCGUGCGGUUCAAUUGGAUUCAACGCCGGA
rnacentral:rRNA from 1 species